rnacentral:rRNA from 1 species
GACGAACGCUGGCGGCGUGCUUAACACAUGCAAGUCGAACGGAAAGGCCCUGCUUUUGUGGGGUGCUCGAGUGGCGAACGGGUGAGUAACACGUGAGUAACCUGCCCUUGACUUUGGGAUAACUUCAGGAAACUGGGGCUAAUACCGGAUAGGAGCUCCUGCUGCAUGGUGGGGGUUGGAAAGUUUCGGCGGUUGGGGAUGGACUCGCGGCUUAUCAGCUUGUUGGUGGGGUAGUGGCGUACCAAGGCUUUGACGGGUAGCCGGCCUGAGAGGGUGACCGGCCACAUUGGGACUGAGGUACGGCCCAGACUCCUACGGGAGGCAGCAGUGGGGAAUAUUGCACAAUGGGCGGAAGCCUGAUGCAGCAACGCCGCGUGCGGGAUGACGGCCUUCGGGUUGUAAACCGCUUUCGCCUGUGACGAAGCGUGAGUGACGGUAAUGGGUAAAGAAGCACCGGCUAACUACGUG